rnacentral:rRNA from 1 species
UACAGAGGUCUCAAGCGUUUGUUCGGAUUCAUUGGGCGUAAAGGGUGCGUAGGCGGCGCGGUAAGUCGGGUGUGAAAUCUCGGAGCUUAACUCCGAAACUGCAUUCGAUACUGCCGUGCUUGAGGACUGGAGAGGAGACUGGAAUUUACGGUGUAGCGGUGAAAUGCGUAGAUAUCGUAAGGAAGACCAGUGGCGAAGGCGGGUCUCGUGGACAGUUCCUGACGCUGAGGCACGAAGGCCAGGGGAGCAAACGGG